UAGGGGAUNUGCCAUGGGCGAAACCUGUGCAGCGACGCCGCGUGAGGGAUGACGGCCUUCGGGUUGUAAACCUCUUUCAGCAGGGACGAAGCGAAAGUGACGGUACCUGCAGAAGAAGCACCGGCCAACUACGUGCCAGCAGCCGCGGUAAUA
rnacentral:rRNA from 1 species